AUGACGGCUAGCGUCAAGUGCGAUCCCACGGAUCAGGAGUUGAUCGAGCACCUUGAGGCCAAAGUGAGUGCUGACAGCGCGAGAUCUCACCCUCUCAUCGAUUUGUUCAUACCAACCAUUGACAGCGAUCACGGCAUAUGCUACACCCAUCCUGAGAAAUUUCCAGGUAUCACACUGAGUGGCCUAAGCAAGCAUUUCUUCCAACGCAAUUCCAGGGCAUUCAAAAGGGGCACGUGGACGCGUCGCAAGAUACAGUCGGAGUGUGGCAUGCACGCGAUGUGGCACAACACCGGCAAUACCUUGCCGGUGAUGGUCAACGGCCGGCAGAUGGGCAGCAAAAAGGUUCUGGUGCUGCACACCAACAAGAACUUCGACCAACAAAGGACCAACUAG
rnacentral:rRNA from 1 species